CCUACUAGGCUUCUCCAUCCAUGGGAUUUUCUAAGCAAGAAUACAGGAGUGUGUUGCCAUUUUCUUCUCCAGGGAAUCUUCCUGACCCAGCUCCAGACUGUCUGCUGAUGGAUGGUACUCAUGCAUGGAAGAUCCAGUGGUGCUGAGCCUCUGAGCCACAAUCAUGGCUGGACAUGUAGGAGAUGGGUCAAGAGUGCUCAGAAGCGUUAGAAGGAGUCCUUAGGGAGAAGCAUUUGUGGCUGAGAGAGACGACCCUCACUUGUCAAAGACCUGCUUCUGCUAACCAGCUACCGUGUGCCUUGGGUGGGCCCUGGCCUCACCUACAGAAUGUUGGCUUUGUCCUGUCCUCAAAAGUGAGUAAGAAGGUUUAAGGAGACAAGAUGCUGGUAUUGAAAACGAGAAGUCUGAGGGCAGGCAUUUAUUGAUGGAGUAAUCCGAACACUAGGAGGUGAGAAAGAAGGGAAAUGCAAGAGAACAUUGAGCCUAAGAGAGGCUGAUGAUAAAAAUGUGGAUUUCAACUAAACCCACCAGGAACAGCUCUGCAAAUGACCUCACCCCACCCCACCCCACCCUCGCCUGCAAAUAAACAUCUUUGCC
ensembl:lncRNA